CCUACGGGUGGCUGCAGUGGGGAAUAUUGGACAAUGGGCGAAAGCCUGAUCCAGCCAUGCCGCGUGUGUGAAGAAGGCCUUCGGGUUGUAAAGCACUUUCAGUGGGGAAGAAAGCCUUGGGGCUAAUACCCUCGAGGAAGGACAUCACCCACAGAAGAAGCACCGGCUAACUCCGUGCCAGCAGCCGCGGUAAUACGGAGGGUGCGAGCGUUAAUCGGAAUUACUGGGCGUAAAGCGCGCGUAGGCGGUCUGAUAAGCCGGUGUGAAAGCCCCGGGCUCAACCUGGGAACGGCAUCCGGAACUGUCAGGCUAGAGUGCAGGAGAGGAAGGUAGAAUUCCCGGUGUAGCGGUGAAAUGCGUAGAGAUCGGGAGGAAUACCAGUGGCGAAGGCGGCCUUCUGGACUGACACUGACGCUGAGGUGCGAAAGCGUGGGUAGCAAACAGGAUUAGAUACCCCAGUAGUC
rnacentral:rRNA from 1 species